rnacentral:rRNA from 1 species
UUUGGUGGCGAUAGCGAAGAGGUCACACCCGUUCCCAUACCGAACACGGAAGUUAAGCUCUUCAGCGCCGAUGGUAGUUGGGGGUUUCCCCCUGUGAG